UCCGAUGUGGUGUAUCGGUAACAUAUCCGCCUCUCAUCCUUGAUCCACACUCUGGUAUUGACGCGGUUGCGCGGGGUUCAAUUCCCCGCAUCGGAA